GAUGAACGCUAGCUACAGGCUUAACACAUGCAAGUCGAACGGAGUGCCCUUGAAAGAGGCUUCGGCCAAUGGAUGGGAACACUUAGUGGCGGACUGGUGAGUAACGCGUGAGGAACCUGCCUUUCAGAGGGGGACAGCAGUUGGAAACGACUGCUAAUACCGCAUGACACAUUGAGGGGGCAUCCCUUUGAUGUCAAAGAUUUAUCGCUUGAAGAUGGACUCGCGUCCGAUUAGCCAGUUGGCGGGGUAACGGCCCACCAAAGCGACGAUCAGUAGCCGGACUGAGAGGUUGAACGGCCACAUUGGGACUGAGACACGGCCCAG
rnacentral:rRNA from 1 species